GACGAACGCUGGCGGCGUGCCUAAUACAUGCAAGUCGAGCGGACGUUUUAUUGGUGCUUGCACCGAUAAAACGUUAGCGGCGGACGGGUGAGUAACACGUGGGCAACCUACCCUAUAGUUUGGGAUAACUCCGGGAAACCGGGGCUAAUACCGAAUAAUACUUUUUGGCUCCUGUCAGAAAGUUGAAAGAUGGUUCUGCUAUCGCUAUAGGAUGGGCCCGCGGCGCAUUAGCUAGUUGGUGAGGUAACGGCUCACCAAGGCAACGAUGCGUAGCCGACCUGAGAGGGUGAUCGGCCACACUGGGACUGAGACACGGCCCAGACUCCUACGGGAGGCAGCAGUAGGGAAUCUUCCACAAUGGGCGAAAGCCUGAUGGAGCAACGCCGCGUGAGUGAAGAAGGAUUUCGGUUCGUAAAACUCUGUUGUAAGGGAAGAACAAGUAGCGUAGUAACUGGCGCUACCUUGACGGUACCUUAUUAGAAAGCCACGGCUAACUACGUGCCAGCCGCCGCGUAACAC
rnacentral:rRNA from 1 species